rnacentral:lncRNA from 1 species
GGCGCAAAGACUUAAUCCCAAAUGACUGUUCACUCUCUUUUCACUGCAAAGUUGCGUUCAAACUCGUGAAAUUUUGAACGAGUGAGUCUCAAGUCCCUCUUCACGCAUCUCUAACCGUUUCUUAUGCGAAUUUUCUCAUUACCUUCACUCGCUCGAUUUGGAGAUAAGGCACGCGAUUUGAAGCUUCUGGGAACGAUUUGCUGGAUGAGUGUGAGGCGUUGGAUUGAUUUCACUCAAUCCAAGCACCACAUUCAUCAGGAAUUCGUUCUCAAAAGGGAAUUUUUGAUGGAUUUUGGAGGGGGACUGAAAAAAAAUUCAGAUAAAAAGGGUUGAAAGGUUUCUAAAAUGAACUUCUGGUUUUCAAAUGUUGGGUUUUUUAUUUUUUUUGAAGAGUUCUUUCAAGGUGUAAGGGGAACAUAUGUAUAAAAUUAUUUAUUUUUGAAUUUGGUUUGUUGAAUGCUUAAGCGAUAGAAAUUAAUGAAGGUCGUUCAACUGGUGGUGAGAUUUAAGCUCGUUGACUUGGAUUUCUACUGUCAUCUUGUUGGCUGCUGCUGAACCUCGUUAGAAUUUGGAGUCGAAAGGUGUGCUGUCGAGUCUGUAAUUUAUCAGGAAGUUUAAAAUAUCAGGUAAAAUUUCUUUUCUCUGCUAAAUUUCUGUUUUAAAGUGGUUGGAAAGGUGAGGUUUUGUUCAAUGGUAUUCUGUCCCGUGAUUGAAUUUUUUGUUGAUGAAUUUCUUCUCAAUGGUAUAAUGUGUUUGAGU